GGAAAAGAUCAUAAGAGACUUUUUAGGGUAACCUCUGCUUGGGGAGCAAUGAUUGUAAAGAAAGUGCUGGGAAUAUCAUUAUUAAUCAUAAAGUUGGAAAAAAAUGGCUUACUGGAAAAUGAUUCCACGAGCGCAUGCAGGGUAAUAACUUUAUUUGGAAAUGAGAAAUGUCCAAGAUAUACAUGAAUGACCUUGGAUCCUGAUAUUUUGGUGUGAUUUUUGUAUGAUGUUCCACUUUGAGCGGCAUUACU
rnacentral:lncRNA from 1 species